rnacentral:rRNA from 2 species
AAAGAACCAAUAUUUUUGGUGACUCAUAAUAACUUUACGGAUCACAUUUUUGUGACAUAUCAUUCAAGUUUCUGACCUAUCAGCUUUAGACGGUAGGGUAUUGGCCUACCGUGGCUAUGACGGGUAACGGGGAAUUAGGGUUCGAUUCCGGAGAGGGAGCCUGAGAAACGGCUACCACAUCUAAGGAAGGCAGCAGGCGCGCAAAUUACCCAAUCCUAAUACAGGGAGGUAGUGACAAGAAAUAACAAUACAGGGCCUAACGGUCUUGUAAUUGGAAUGAGUUAAGUAUAAACCCCUUUACAAGUAUCAAUUGGAGGGCAAGUCUGGUGCCAGCAGCCGCGGUAAUUCCAGCUCCAAUAGCGUAUAUUAAAGUUGUUGCAGUUAAAAAGCUCGUAGUUGGAUUUCUGUUAAUUCUUAUAUUUUAUACUACGGUAUUUAUAUAACAUUAACAUAAUUCAUAUUACUUUUUUAGUAUAUGAAAUUUUACUUUGAGAAAAUUAGAGUGCUUAAAGCAGGCAUUUGCCUUGAAUACUCCAGCAUGGAAUAAUAUUUAAGAUUUUUAUCUUUCUUAUUGGUUCUAAGAUAAAAAUAAUGAUUAAUAGGGACAGUUGGGGGCAUUUGUAUUUAACAGUCAGAGGUGAAAUUCUUAGAUUUGUUAAAGACAAACUACUGCGAAAGCAUUUGCCAAGGAUGUUUUCAUUAAUCAAGAACGAAAGUUAGGGGAUCGAAGACGAUCAGAUACCGUCGUAGUCUUAACCAUAAAC